GGGUGCGAUCAUACCAACAUUAAUGCGUCGGAUCCCAUAAGAACUCCGCAGUAAAGCGUGCUUGGGCCAGAGUAUUACUGGGAUGGGUGACCUCCAGAGAAGUCCUAGUGUUGCACCCU
rnacentral:rRNA from 1 species